CCUACGGGGGGCAGCAGUGGGGAAUUUUGGACAAUGGGGGCAACCCUGAUCCAGCCAUGCCGCGUGCGGGAAGAAGGCCUUCGGGUUGUAAACCGCUUUUGUCCGGGAAGCGGUACUGGAAGAAUAAGCACCGGCUAACUACGUGCCAGCAGCCGCGGUAAUACGUAGGGUGCGAGCGUUAAUCGGAAUUACUGGGCGUAAAGCGUGCGCAGGCGGUUCGUAAAGUCUGAUGUGAAAGCCCCGGGCUCAACCUGGGAAUGGCAUUGGAAACUAGCGGGCUUGAGUGUGGCAGAGGGGGGUGGAAUUCCACGUGUAGCAGUGAAAUGCGUAGAGAUGUGGAGGAACACCGAUGGCGAAGGCAGCCCCCUGGGCUAAACUGACGCUCAUGCACGAAAGCGUGGGGAGCAAACAGGAUUAGAUACCCUUGUAGUC
rnacentral:rRNA from 1 species